rnacentral:rRNA from 1 species
UACGGAGGGGGCAAGCGUUGUUCGGAAUUACUGGGCGUAAAGGGCUCGUAGGUGGCCAACUAAGUCGGACGUGAAAUCCCUCGGCUUAACCGGGGAACUGCGUCUGAUACUGGAUGGCUUGAGUUCGGGAGAGGGAUGCGGAAUUCCAGGUGUAGCGGUGAAAUGCGUAGAUAUCUGGAGGAACACCGGUGGCGAAGGCGGCAUCCUGGACCGACACUGACGCUGAGGAGCGAAAGCCAGGGGAGCAAACGGG